GUAGGUCCACCCCACAGUUUUUUCUCAUGCCUUAUUGUCUCGCACCCGUUCUCUCCACAGCCUGUCAUUUGCUCUUCUUCAUGCCGCAUCUCAGCUUUUCUCCUCUAACAAAUCGCCAGCAAUGGCAUGGCUGCCCACCGUCCCAGGCCACCUGUCGCCGGCAGGCGAGGUCGUCGGCGUCGACUCAGCUGAGGCUGCAUGCUGCAACCCGCCACGACGGACAGCCGCUAGCCUGGGGCAACGGCCUAGCCAUGCGCCACCACACCCCGUGUCCUCUUGCGUUUGCGCUGCGCGCGCUGACGAGGCCUUGCUAUGAGCGGUGACCGGUCACCGGAAACUGGCACAGCAGCGAGGCGUGCUACAACCUGCGUCAAUCGAAGCUGGAACCACCAUCUCGGCGUGCUGCAACCGGGCAACAUAGAGCUGCGACGGGGGCGAGCGGCGACGGGUGGGGCUGCAACCGGCCAGCUUUUUUGCUGGAGCCAGCGACGGGAGGUGCUACAACCGGUGUCGUCGGGAGCAUCUCCGCGGUGGUGCUCCAAAUUUUUCUUUGCUGGAAAGCCGCCAACGAGGUGGCUUCUUUUGCUGGAACCGGCCCAUACUUUUGCUACUACCUUCUUUUGAUUUUGCUGGAGCCGGCUAGAAAUUUGCUACUACCGUAUUUUGAUUUUCGCUGGAAGAAGCCUAUUUUUUUUCUACCACCGUCUUCUACCUUUGAUGGAACCAGUAUUUGAUUUUGUUUUUUGCUGGAAACAAUAUUUGAUUUUGCUGGAACCAGCGAGUGAAUUUGCUACAACCAGCGCCCAAAUUUGCUACAAACCACGACAAUGAAGUGUCGCCGGUGGUGACGAUGCUGUGAUUUUUGUUGCAACCGGUAGCAGAAAAGCUACAACCGGUGCCCAGGUUUGCUACAAGCCUACAACCAACGACAACGAAGUGUGGAGGGCGACGACGGUGC
rnacentral:rRNA from 1 species